rnacentral:lncRNA from 1 species
CUGCAACUAUUGUUUCAACUGAAGCUGCCAUUUAAUCUUCGAAUUAAUAUUUGGUACUGAUAUAUAUAAAGUUUUUAUAUUUGCUUAAACUGAAAUAUAUUUGGUGCUACUCUUAUAAUCUUACAUGUGUCUGUAUUAGUGAAUUAAUGUUGUAUGUAUUUCAGUUACUGCUUCCUGCUCCUCCUGCAACUAUUGGUUCAACUGAAGCUGCCAUUUAAUCUUCGAAUUAAUAUUUGGUACUGAUAUAGAUAAAGUUUUUAUAUUUGUUUAAAAUGAAAUAUAUUUGGUGCUACUCUUAUAAUCUUACAUCUGUUCUAGGUACUAUCGAG